AUUGAACGCUGGCGGCAUGCCUUACACAUGCAAGUCGAACGGCAGCACGGGUGCUUGCACCUGGUGGCGAGUGGAGAACGGGUGAGUAAUACAUCGGAACGUACCUUAUCGUGGGGGAUAACGCAGCGAAAGCUGUGCUAAUACAGCAUACGCCCUGAGGGGGAAAGCGGGGGAUCGCAAGACCUCGCGCGAUUAGAGCGGCCGAUGCCUGAUUAGCUUGUUGGUGGGGUAAAGGCCCACCAAGGCGACGAUCAGUAGGUGGUUUACGCGGACGAUCAGCCCCACUGGGACUGAGACACGGCACAGACUCCUACGGGACGCAGCAGUGGGGAAUUUUGGACAAUGGGCGCAACCCUGAUCCAGCAAUGCCGCGUGAGUGAAGAAGGCCUUCGGGUUGUAAAGCUCUUUUGUCAGGGAAGAAACACCGGCUCUAACACAGUCCGGUAAUGACGGUACCUGAAGAAUAAGCACCGGCUAACUACGUGCCAGCAGCCGCCGUAA
rnacentral:rRNA from 1 species